GUGGGAACAGCACAGCCGCAAGUCUGACUCGCCGGGGCGCUCGCCCACGGCUCGGGAUUGCGGCAGUGC
rnacentral:ncRNA from 1 species